UGGACCAAGGGACGAACGACAAGAGAACAAUGUGUAAAGCUAAAGAAACACUUAACAAGCUACAGGGUUGAGCGCUUUGGCGACAGGCCAUGCAGCGCGGUAAGUACCGAGAGCUCAUUCCGGAGUUGUGGCACCAUGCCGCACUAGGCCAGUGGUGAGUACUACGAGGGAGUUUGGAGGCCUUGGCAGCACACCAAACUUGCUUGAUGUUGGACACUUGGGCGCGUUAGGACAACGUCGCGGUGGCCAAAACACUAUAAAUACAAGGCACAUGGGGGAGAGAGAAAAUCACUUUAUUUUGUGACUUGUUUGACAGCUUUUGUAAGAGUUUCAACCUAUGCACUUCAAGAUUUCAAUAAAUAAUUUCAAGAACUCAAGAGGGAACUUCGGUUUCGUGAGAUCAUCAUUCAAGAACACAACGGUUAAAACCAGAUCAAUUUCGCCAUCUACAAAAAAUGUUAAGUACCUGCUGCUAACCAUCAAGAGGCACUGCCGGUGGUUCAGGCUAAACCAGUUGGUGAUGAGAAUAGAAUACAAGGGACAGGGGUGCUAAUGCCAAGGUAAUCAAGGUUGUGGUAGAGCCCCUAGCUAGGCAUAGGGUCCAGGUCGGUCAAUUGUUUAUGAGCAAGUAGAGUUUACUUCUUGUAACAACCCAACCAACUUUUUGAGUAUUUACGUAACAGAUCAUAUUUUGAAUGCUUAUA